rnacentral:lncRNA from 13 species
ACACACACACACACACAGUCAUACACACAAACACAGACACACAUACACCAACACAUGCACGCACACACAGACGGACACACACACACCAACACAGACAUACACACAAACACAGACACACAUACACCAACACACGCACGCACACACAGACGGACCCACACACACCAACACAGACAUACACACAGAAACACACAAUCAAACAUUACACUGACUGCCUUAUCGAUUGCUAGCAUAUUAGUCCAAAGCCCCAUUGGGCGCUCAUGCUCUGAGAGAUGGGAGGUUAAAGGCUUCUUAAAUGUCUAUAUCAAUCUGCAGGGUUGUCACAGUGACAAAGACUGGAAACAGAACAUCAUUAGCUGUCAGCACGUGUCACACAGGAUCAUCAGAACAACAUCCUAGUGGAUGGAUGGCCCUGACUGUCACUAUCUCAAUGGACAUUAGGGCUAGAUCAGCCUCUAAUGGCAUUGCUGUAAAUUCCGUUUCUGUCCCCAAAUGGUUUUUAUAGUUUGAACUCAGAUGAUCACUAAUGUAUUUGUACUUAGUUAACCUGCUCAGAUGACAUGAGUAUGUCUUAGAAAUCCAGAAAUGCAUUAUCCAGUAUUACAGUGGAUCUAAUAGCACUGGAUUGCAUUGUUUCUCUUAAUACAAUCUGUUGAAUACUAAUAUGCUUUUGACCCAGUAAGGGUAUUGUCCAUUCACGGCCACACAACGAGCAUUGUAGUCCAUUCUCCUGGGAUCGGAGACAUUUUGUUUUUGUGCUCUUUUCACACCAGCGCUCCCUUUUCCCACAGAAACCCUCUCCUUUCUCCCACUCCAAGGCAGCCCUUUUCAAACCGGGAAGCUCCAGGUCAGUUUCCCUUUCCAAGUUUUACGGCCUGCCAUGUUGUCCAUUCUGCUCAGCUAUUUAAAAAAUGUUGAAUAUCAACAAUGGCUUUCACUGGUGUAUUGUCAACUUUUGUAUGAAGCAAUCUUGGCUGAAUGAGAUGGGUCCCAGAGCAGGGAGGGCUUGGCUGCGGCAUGCACCGCAACACCACUGGUGCCUGCCUGGCUCUCUCUCUCUCUCUCUCUGCUGCAGGCAGGAUCAGGGAGGCAGGAGCAGCCGUCCCUCUAGUCCCUGUCUCAGCCCAGCCGCUGGGGUCUGCGUGGAGCUGGGAAAGCCACCCCCUCGUCAGUCCUCUCUGCGAACCCAUCCUCAUCCCAGGUUCCCCUCCCCCUGCCUCUGGCCCUGUCGUCUGGGAGCCCCUGAAGGUGUGACACCUCACACAGGGAUCGGCGAGCAGGAGCCCCGGGGGCCAGUCAGAGCUGGGUAGCCGUGCCAACCCCAUUGGAGAUGUAUGUUUGAAGAUAAUCGUAGGAAAUCCUCCACCCAACCCAGAGAAACCCUUUCCUGGUCAGCAGCAACCCUGGAGUACCCUACUACCUGACAGGUGGGUUGUACAGGCCCACUCAGGCUCUGACAUGGGCUUUGAUGGACUUCUCCCAAACCAUAGCUAGGGUCAUGGCCAUCUAAAUUCCUGACAAUUCAGAAACGGAGUUACUCUCCUAUGAUGAAAUUAACUCUGAUGACACAAUGAUCCUAUCAUGGUGGUCUGGGGUCAGGGGGGCUCACGGUUGUUGAGUGGUGUGUGUGAGGCAGGACCAGGAGGGCUCACGGUUGUUGAGUGGUGUGUGUGAGGCAGGACUAGGGGGGGCUCACGGUUGUUGAGUGGUGGGUGUGAGGCAGGACCAGGAGGGCUGACG